rnacentral:lncRNA from 1 species
CAGCAGACAAGACAGAACAGCUGCAAAAGAUUUUUCCGGUGAUGGCCACUUUUGAACUUGGACAGACAUAUCCCUGAAGACCACCUACUUAAUACCUGCUCUGACAUCCUAACACUGAGGUGGAAUCCUGGCUCCUUGGCAGUGAGAGUUCACAAGAGGUCGCAGGAGCUUCUCACAUGUCUGCUACCCAAGGAAUUGUCUUUAGGUCAUGCAUUCAUCCUGGAGGAUGAUUACAGCAAGUGAUUAGUGGGGCAUUUGUUGUUCUACAUUUCCUGGAAAGAUGUGAAAACACUUCCUUUCCUCCCAGAUAAGGUAUGUUGAAAAACGGGAGAUAGCUCCACCCAAGUCUCACUUAGUGCAUCAGUCUCUUUUCUUGUUGCUGUGAAUAAAUAUCCAUAGAAGUAUUUUAGAAGUAUGGAAAGGAAGAGUUUAUAUUGGCUCAUGUUUUGUUGGAAGUCCAUCAUGGUGGGAGAGACAGGGUGGGAAGUGGAUGACAGGAUGGGGAGGAGUGGGAGGCAGUUGGAGAUGAGUGGGAGGCAGGUAGUGAGUGGGAUGCAGGUGGGAGAGGGAGGCAGGGUUGGGAGUAGAAGGUAGCCUGUCACAUGGCAUCUGUGGUUCAAAGCAGAGGGGGAUGAAAGGUGUUCCUCUCACUUUCUGCCUAAGCUGGGCCACCAGUUGGAGCCAUCCCAUUCAGGGUAGCUCUUCCAUCUUUUCUUAAGCUUCUCUCAAAACUCCCAAGCAUACCCAGAGCUGUGUCUCCUAAGUAAUUUAAAGACCAGUGAAAUUUUUAUUGGGGUUUCGGGAGCAUGGUUGACAUAGUCAGCUCGCUGCAUCAUUAACAAAGCCACCCAACAUGGAGAAACUGAAUCUCUGGAGUUCUCUACAUGGUUUGCAGGCAGCUCCACCUUGAGAGUUUCCUCUUCCUCGGUAAUCAUUUCUUGCUUAUAAAACUCCAGGGAGAACCCUGUGAGUCCCAUAACCUCCUUCUGAGUUAGUUUCAGAUUGGAGGUAGUGCCUGCUCAUCGACACUGCUGUGAGCCAA